rnacentral:rRNA from 1 species
UCAAAAAGAYCGCGAAACCGUUAGGAGGGAAAAGAAUGCGGYUGAAGUGGCUCCUCGUCAGGAUYAGGAGACGUCGCGCGGUCCCAGACGGGSCCGUCGACAACUCUGCASUUCUGCGGGGAGCCGGCCAAYGGCAGUUGUGUCCGGCCCAGGAGGGUGCCGGGGAAGGUGGCCCCGCGUUCGCGUGGGGAACUUAUAGCCCGGCGCCUGGACNUUCCGGAGACGACUGAGGAGAGUUGCGAGUUCUUCGCACGUUGCAGCGCAGGCCUCGUCUCGAGGCUGGGCCGCCACUGUCCGGCAGGCAGCCGAGGUGGUCACUGCUCGCAGUGGCCGUCGACGGUCCUUGUCGGCCGGGCGKAGGGCCGGUCGCAC